GACGAACGCUGGCGGCGUGCCUAAUACAUGCAAGUUGAGCGCUGAAGGUUGGUACUUGUACCAACUGGAUGAGCAGCGAACGGGUGAGUAACGCGUGGGGAAUCUGCCUUUGAGCGGGGGACAACAUCUGGAAACGAAUGCUAAUACCGCAUAAAAACUUUAAACACAAGUUUUAAGUUUGAAAGAUGCAAUUGCAUCACUCAAAGAUGAUCCCGCGUUGUAUUAGCUAGUUGGUGAGGUAAAGGCUCACCAAGGCGAUGAUACAUAGCCGACCUGAGAGGGUGAUCGGCCACAUUGAGACUGAGACACUGCCCAAACUCCUAAGGGAGGCAGCAGUAGGGAAGCUUCGGCAAUGGACGAAAGUCUGACCGAGCAACGCCGCGUGAGUGAAGAAGGGUUUCGGAUCGUAAAACUCUGUUGGUAGGGAAGAACGUGUGUGAGAGUGGAAAGCUCAUCAAGUGACGGUAACUACCCAGAAAGGGACGGCUAACUACGUG
rnacentral:rRNA from 1 species